rnacentral:rRNA from 1 species
AUGUUGCAGGAGGAUGGGGGUAUUGAUGAAUAUGUGAACCAUCGAAUCAAAGCCGGAUGGAUGAAGUGGCACCAAGCUUCUGGCAUUCUCUGUGACAAGAGAGUGCCACAGAAGCUAAAAGGCAAGUUCUACAGGACGGCGGUUCGACCCGCAAUGUUGUAUGGCGCGGAGUGUUGGCCGACUAAAAGGCGACAUGUUCAACAGUUAGGUGUGGCGGAGAUGCGUAUGUUGAGAUGGAUGUGUGGCCACACGAGGAAGGAUCGAGUCCGGAAUGAUGAUAUACGAGAUAGAGUUGGGGUAGCACCAAUCGAGGAGAAGCUUGUCCAACAUCGUCUGAGAUGGUUUGGGCAUAUUCAGCGCAGGCCUCCAGAAGCUCCAGUGCAUAGCGGACGGCUAAAGCGUGCGGAGAAUGUCAAGAGAGGGCGGGGUCGACCGAAUUUGACAUGGGAGGAGUCCGUUAAGAGAGACCUGAAGGAUUGGAGUAUCGACAAAGAGCGAGCUAUGGACAGGGGUGCGUGGAAGCUUGCUAUCCAUGUGCCAGAGCCAUGA